GUCUCAAAGAUUAAGCCAUGCAUGUGUAAGUAUAAAUAAUUUUACUUUGAAACUGCGAAUGGCUCAUUAUAUCAGUUAUAGUUUAUUAGAAAUAUUUUACUACUUGGAUAACCGUAGUAAUUCUAGGGCUAAUACAUGAGUAAAACCUCAACUUCGGAAGAGGUGUGUUUAUUAGUAUGAAAACCAUAUAUCUUCGGAUAUAAUAGUGAGUAAUAAUAACCUUUCAUAUCGUAUGUCGUAAGAUAACGAUAGUUCUUUCAAGUUUCUGCCCUAUCAGCUUUCGAUGGUAGUAUAUGGGACUACCAUGGCAGUAACGGGUAACGAAGAAUUUGGGUUCGAUUUCGGAGAGGGAGCCUGAGAGAUGGCUACCACAUCCAAGGAAGGCAGCAGGCGCGUAAAUUACCCAAUCCUGACAUAGGGAGGUAGUGACAAUAAAUCACAAUGCGGAACUUUUAGUUUUGCAAUUGGAUUGAGAACAAUGUACAAAUGUUAUCGAUAAACAAUUGGAGGGCAAGUCUGGUGCCAGCAGCCGCGGUAAUUCCAGCUCCAAUAGCGUAUAUUAACGUUGUUGCAGUUAAAAAAG
rnacentral:rRNA from 1 species